CUCUUGCUCUUCAUGGUGUUUUGCAUAGAUAUGAGGGCUGGAACUGUGGCAGCCACCUUGAGACCAUGAGGGAAGCCAGCCAGAAGACAAAGCCGACAUUCAGAGGAAAACAGAAGCAGAGAUUGGUCUGAGACCAGCGGGGAGUCACACAGACCGGGAUCUGAUGCCAGCUCUGCUCCUCACAGCUUGCGUGAUUGGGGAGAUGACUCCUCCCCUCACCUGGUCCCCAAACUUCAAGUUCAUAGAUUAAUGUGAAGAAGCUACUAUGAAGAUCAAAGGAAUCCCAUCCCUGGAAACUUCUAGAUUCCAAGUUGGCAUGUUGAGACUUGGAAGGGGAUGCAUGCCAGUGGAAUCGGUCUUCUCAACCUCCACUCCCUCAUUGCUCCACUCUCCCAGGGAACAGGCAGGGGUUGGGGAAGAGGGGCUUGUUAGGAGAAUGCUAAUGGAGAAGGGACGUAAUAAUGUUCCACUGCUUUCCCCUUUGUGCAGAAAAGCAGAGGUGCAGGAGCCACCCAAGAGACUCUCCUUUCAGCUCUGGGCAGGCUGUGAUCGUGGGGGGUUGGGGUGCAUGUCUCAUAUGGAGUGUGCCAUGUGCUCAGACUGUACCCAGGACUAUUGCGGGUUGGGGAUAUUGGGAAUUCUGGCACCAAAUGGCAUAGCCAAUCAGGAGUGACAAAGAAGAGGUGACAGUGUCCCCCCAGGCAGUGAGUGAACCACAGGGAUGGCUAACUGGCUUAAGCUGGCCUUCUGGCCCUCCAAGAAAUUACUUGGAGGAGCAAAAAGACCUCACCCACAGGAGUUACUGGGUGGACCAAUCGCUGACACUGAGUGACCAGGAGGGCAUAGAUUUUACUACUCUCUAUCGGUCACCCACAUGGUGACAGUGAGUGUAGCCCAGUUUGUUUCCACUGACACUAACUCUGCCACUCCACAGAGAGAAAGCUCGACCCUCCUAUACCUGGAGAAUGAUCCACGAGCACACCAGGCCUCUACUCCAGCCCAAGAAAUAGACCAACCCAAGAAAGCCCAAUGAUGAUGCCUCAACCUUAGAGCCCAGAGCCCUCCCCUCUCUGCCACUGCUGGGUGGUGCACAUGCUUGGAGCUGCAGGAAGUCAGAAGCAGGACUAGAGGCGAGGGAGGCAAAAGAAGGGAGAAAGCUCAAAGAGGAAAGUGGACAGUGUCAAAGUGGGGAGUUAUGCCCCAAAGACUAGGCUUAAAUCAGAAGUAGCCAGAAUAUCUAGAAGCAACGAGGUUAAGUUUUCUGCUGCAAAGUAGAAAUGGAUCAAGAAGGAAACUGGCAGAAAAAUGGACAUAUCUGAGCUGGGACCAUACAAUUCAUGUCUGUGGCAUCAGGGUUCUUUAAGAAGGUGGGUGUGAUAGGCUCAAUCAUGCCACCACACUGCCCAAAGAUGUUCACCCAUGAACAUGUUACUUCACAUGGCCACAAGGGUUUUGCAGAUUUGAUCAGGUUAAGAAUUUUGAGAUGAAGAGAUUAUCCUGAAUUACCUGGGUGGGCCCUAAAUGAAAUUGCAUGUGGCCUUGCAAGAGAGAGGCCGGAAGGUCAGGGUUGGGAAUGAUGCGGCAAUGGGCAGCAGAGGUUGGAGGUGUGACUGCUGGCUUGGAAGAUGCUAGAGAUCCAUGGGCCACCUCUGGGAGCUGGAAAAGGGAGGGACUAAUUCUCUCCUGGAGCCUCCCAACGGAACACAGCCCUGUGUUGCAGGCUUCUGACCUCUGUAACUGUAAGAUAAUAAAUUUGUAUUGUUGUAAGCCACCAAAUUUGUAGUAAUUUACUACAGCAGCAAUAGGAAACUGAUAAAAUAGUUGAUCUGGGUUUGGGCCCUCAACCAGCUGCUGAGAGAUUCUUGGACAGUAGAGGUUUUGGGAUCAAGGUGGGGCUGGAGAGGCUGGAGAGGCUGGAGAGGCCAGGAUCAGGGGAGGCUGAGCAUGGUGGGUUUAGACAGGGGGAGUUACUGCGGACAGCAAGUACCCUGGCCUGGCUGGAGCUGACAUUUAAGUAGAGAAGAAGGGGGAAUGCAGUGGGAGAAGUUGUUUGGGGCUAGAAAGUGGCAGCCCUGAGAUCCUGGCUAAGGGGCUUGGGCUUAACCUCAGGGAUCACCCAAGAUUGCUUCACAGAGAAGGUAUCAUGGGCUGAAUGUUUGUGUCCCUUCAAAUUCCUAUGUUGAACCCUAAUGUCUAAUGUGAUGCUAGUAGGAGGG